rnacentral:rRNA from 1 species
GACGAACGCUGGCGGCGUGCUUAACACAUGCAAGUCGAACGGAAAGGCCCUGCUUUUGUGGGGUGCUCGAGUGGCGAAAGGGUGAGUAACACGUGAGUAACCUGCCCUUGACUUUGGGAUAACUUCAGGAAACUGGGGCUAAUACCUGAUAGGAGCUCCUGCUGCCUGGUGGGGGUUGGAAAGUUUCGGCGGUUGGGGAUGGACUCGCGGCUUAUCAGCUUGUUGGUGGGGUAGUGGCUUACCAAGGCUUUGACGGGUAGCCGGCCUGAGAGGGUGACCGGCCACAUUGGGACUGAGAUACGGCCCAGACUCCUACGGGAGGCAGCAGUGGGGAAUAUUGCACAAUGGGCGGAAGCCUGAUGCAGCAACGCCGCGUGCGGGAUGACGGCCUUCGGGUUGUAAACCGCUUUCGCCUGUGACGAAGCGUGAGUGACGGUAAUGGGUAAAGAAGCACCGGCUAACUACGUG